rnacentral:rRNA from 2 species
CCUUGAAAUACCACCCUUUAAUGUUUGAUGUUCUAACGUUGGCCCCUGAUCGGGGUUGCGGACAGUGUCUGGUGGGUAGUUUGACUGGGGCGGUCUCCUCCUAAAGAGUAACGGAGGAGCACGAAGGUUGGCUAAUCCUGGUCGGACAUCAGGAGGUUAGUGCAAUGGCAUAAGCCAGCUUGACUGCGAGCGUGACGGCGCGAGCAGGUGCGAAAGCAGGUCAUAGUGAUCCGGUGGUUCUGAAUGGAAGGGCCAUCGCUCAACGGAUAAAAGGUACUCCGGGGAUAACAGGCUGAUACCGCCCAAGAGUUCAUAUCGACGGCGGUGUUUGGCACCUCGAUGUCGGCUCAUCACAUCCUGGGGCUGAAGUAGGUCCCAAGGGUAUGGCUGUUCGCCAUUUAAAGUGGUACGCGAGCUGGGUUUAGAACGUCGUGAGACAGUUCGGUCCCUAUCUGCCGUGGGCGCUGGAGAACUGAGGGGGGCUGCUCCUAGUACGAGAGGACCGGAGUGGACGCAUCACUGGUGUUCGGGUUGUCAUGCCAAUGGCACUGCCCGGUAGCUAAAUGCGGAAGAGAUAAGUGCUGAAAGCAUCUAAGCACGAAACUUGCCCCGA